rnacentral:rRNA from 1 species
CUGAUUAGCUAGUUGGUGAGGUAAAAGCUCACCAAGGCAGCGAUCAGUAGCUGGUCUGAGAGGACGAUCAGCCACACUGGGACUGAGACACAGCCCAGACUCCUACGGGAGGCAGCAGUGGGGAAUUUUCCGCAAUGGGCGAAAGCCUGACGGAGCAAGACCGCGUGAGGGAGGAAGGCUCUUGGGUUGUAAACCUCUUUUCUCAGGGAAGAAGCUCUGACGGUACCUGAGGAAUCAGCCUCGGCUAACUCCGUGCCAGCAGCCGCGGUAAUACGGAGGAGGCAAGCGUUAUCCGGAAUUAUUGGGCGUAAAGCGUCCGCAGGUGGCGAUUCAAGUCUGCUGUCAAAGCACGGGGCUUAACUCCGUUAAGGCAGUGGAAACUGAAUAGCUAGAGUGCCGUAGGGGUAGAGGGAAUUCCCGGUGCAGCGGUGAAAUGCGUAGAGAUCGGGAAGAACAUCGGUGGCGAAAGCGCUCUACUGGACGGCAACUGACACUCAGGGACGAAAGCUAGGGGAGCGAAUGGGAUUAGAUACCCCAGUAGUCCUAGCUGUAAACGAUGGAUACUAGGUGUAGCUUGUAUCGACCCGAGCUGUGCCGAAGCUAACGCGUUAAGUAUCCCGCCUGGGGAGUACGCACGCAAGUGUGAAACUCAAAGGAAUUGACGGGGGCCCGCACAAGCGGUGGAGUAUGUGGUUUAAUUCGAUGCAACGCGAAGAACCUUACCAGGGCUUGACAUGUCCGGAAUCCCGGUGAAAGCUGGGAGUGCCUUCGGGAGCCGGAACACAGGUGGUGCAUGGCUGUCGUCAGCUCGUGUCGUGAGAUGUUGGGUUAAGUCCCGCAACGAGCGCAACCCUCGUCUUUAGUUGCCAGCAUUAAGUUGGGCACUCUAGAGAGACUGCCGGUGACAAACCGGAGGAAGGUGGGGAUGACGUCAAGUCAGCAUGCCCCUUACGCUCUGGGCGACACACGUACUACAAUGGUCGGGACAGAGGGCAGCGAACCUGCGAAGGCAAGCUAAUCCCAGCAAACUCGGCCUCAGUUCAGAUCGCAGGCUGCAACUCGCCUGCGUGAAGGAGGAAUCGCUAGUAAUCGCCGGUCAGAAUACGGCGGUGAAUCCGUUCCCGGGCCUUGUACACACCGCCCGUCACACCAUGGAAGCUGGCCACGCCCGAAGUCGU